UGGCGAACGGGUGAGUAACGGGUGGAAAACCUGCCCUUCAAUGGGGGAUAACAGUUCUAACGAACUGCUAAUACCGCAUACGACCUUAGGAUCGCAUGAUCUCUAGGUGAAAGGUGGCGAUCUCUUCGGAGAGCUGCCGUUGAAGGAUGGUUCCGCCUCCCAUUAGCUUGUUGGUGGGGUAAUGGCCUACCAAGGCGACGAUGGGUAGCCGGCCUGAGAGGGUGUCCGGCCACACUGGGACUGAGAUACGGCCCAGACUCCUACGGGAGGCAGCAGUCGAGAAGCUUCCGCAAUGGGGGAAACCCUGACGGAGCGACGCCGCGUGAGUGAAGAAGGCCCUAUGGGUUGUAAAACUCUGUCAGAUUGGGAAGAAAGCUCUGCGGUUAAUACCCGUAGAGUUUGACGGUACCAUCAGAGGAAGCACCGGCUAACUCCGUGCCAGCAGCCGCGGUAAUACGGAGGGUGCAAGCGUUGUUCGGAUUCACUGGGUAUAAAGGGUGCGCAGGCGGCCUGAUAAGUCAGGGGUGAAAUAUGACGGCUCAACCGUCAAACUGCCCCUGAAACUGCCAGGCUUGAGUUCGAGAGAGGUAGGUGGAAUUCCAGGUGUAGCGGUGAAAUGCGUAAAUAUCUGGAGGAACACCGGUGGCGAAGGCGGCCUACUGGCUCGAUACUGACGCUCAGGCACGAAAGCAUGGGGAGCGAACGGGAUUAGAUACCCCGGUAGUCCAUGCCGUAAACGAUGGGUACUAGGUGUUGGAGGAUUCUACCCCUUCAGUGCCGCAGCUAACGCAUUAAGUACCCCACCUGGGGAGUACGAUCGCAAGGUUGAAACUCAAAGGAAUUGACGGGGGCCCGCACAAGCGGUGGAGCAUGUGGUUUAAUUCGAUGCAACGCGAAGAACCUUACCUGGACUUGACAUGCAGGGGACAGGUGUAGAAAUACACCCUUCUUCGGACUCCUGUACAGGUGCUGCAUGGCUGUCGUCAGCUCGUGUCGUGAA
rnacentral:rRNA from 1 species